UUGAUUGAUGUCUCACAUCUCCAUAAAAUUUAUAAAACCAAGCUGUGCUCUACCUUGGGCACAUGUGGCCAGGACCUCCGGAGGCUGUGCAUCCUCAACCUUGGCGAAACAAACUUCCUAAAUAAUUGAGACCUGUCUCAGAUUUUUGGGGGUUCACAUUUUGGUAGCCAGGAAGGAAUUCUGAGUGGAGAUGCCCCUUACCUUUGACAAAUCUCCUAUUGUUACUUGGUACUAGCAUGAGCUAACUUUAUGGCUCAAAUUAAUAGGACAAUUUGCUGAGGUCUGAAAGUAUCUCCUCCAGAGAAACCCUGGUCUUCCAAAAUUUGAUCAAGAUCAAAAGUUUAUUUAUUUAUUUAUUUUUUGAGUUUUAGUUGCUUCCAACAAGGAAGGCAAGAUUUCCUGCUUCCAUGAUGAUGGCAGGCAGGUAGCUCCUUUAAGGAGUUUGAGCUCAUUCCCAGCAGGGAAGACGAGUCCAAGUUAUUUUCCUGCUUCUAGAAUGGUGGAGAGCCAUCUUCAGCCUGAGACCCCUCCCUAGUUAGGCUUAACAAAUGGAGCAUUCUGUAUAUAAAUGUGGAGAUUGGAGUUAAUCUUCAAAAACCACAUAAUUUGUUUUGUGUGAAAAAGGAAUGAACUAUUCCAUGCUGGUGGAAAGAUAGAGAUUAUUUUUGGAGGUUUGUUUUUGUGUUUUAGGAUUCUGUCCGUUUUCUUUUAAAAUUUAAACAUGUACUUGUGUGGACGAAUUUUUAAAGUGAUUUUGCCAUUUUUGAAAGGGUAUUUAAUGGUAGAAUGCCAUCGAGACAGCAUGCACUGACAUGGAAAGAUGAUAAACAUAUAUUAAGUGUAGAAUGCAAGCGGGAAAACACUAUGUACAGCCUGAGGCAAAUCAAAGCCUGUAUGUUUUUUAUAUGUGUAAAACAAAAGAUUUGGAAAGAUAAGCA